CAUCUAUGUCUCUUACUCUCAUUUUACAGACAGGACAUAGAAAGAUGUGAAAUACAAACUUAGACUCAGAUUUUUUUCAUGGACACAGACAGAAGAUAAGUCCCUCCUAGUAACUUAUAGCUACUUAGAGUUCAUAAUUGUCAGUAAGUAAGAUCUACAUUUUAGAUACCUCAGGAGAAUCAGUCAAGGCUGAAUGGCAGCCAAGUGUCCUGCCCAUGCUUGCAGCACUGCUAUAAUGCAUCAAGAUUUUCCAUCAAGAAAUGAUCACAGAAAUAUUAGUGAUAGUGGGCCCUGUGGGAAAGGAGAUACAAGGGGGACUCCCAUCGUAAAUAAAAGUGAAAGCUGAUAGCAGAGGAAAAAUGGUAUAACUAUUACUCUGAGCCAGUUAAUUAAACUCUUUAGCCUGUUUUUAGAUAAAUUAAAAACAAUUUUAAAAU
rnacentral:lncRNA from 1 species